rnacentral:rRNA from 1 species
GGUAGGGGAGCAUUCCACUCAGCGUUGAAGGCGUACCGUGAGGUAUUCUGGAGCGUGUGGAAAAGCAAAUGUAGGUAUAAGUAACGAUAAAGGGGGUGGGAAACCCCCUCGCCGAAAGACUCAGGUUUCCUGAUCAACGCUAAUCGGAUCAGGGUCAGUCGGGACCUAAGGCUCAGCCGAACGGCGAGGCCGAUGGCAGAACCGGUCAAUAUUCCGGUACUACCUUUGGGGGCGACGUGGAGACGCAGGAGUGACAGUACCGCCGGCUGACGGAAUAGCCGGUUGAAGGGUGUAGACGUUGAGGAUUGCAGGCAAAUCCACAGUCCGAGUCGAACCUGACAGUAUGGAGCGUCCUUCGGGACAAUCCAAUAGUGUAUGUAAGCAUACUGCCGAGAAAAUCCGCUAAGCUUAACCCCUGAGGUACCCGUACCGCAAACGGACACACGUAGUCGGGUUGAAUAUACUUAGGCGCUUGAGUGAUUCACGGUUAAGGAACUAGGCAAACUAACCCUGUAACUUCGGGAUAAAGGGUCCCUACCGGCAACGGAGGGCGCAGAGAAUAGGUCCAGGCAACUGUUUAACAAAAACACAGGGCUGUGCCAAAUCGAAAGAUCAAGUAUACAGCCUGACACCUGCCCGGUGCUGGAAGGUUAAGAGGAGAUGUCAUCGCAAGAGAAGCAUUGAAUUGAAGCCCCAGUAAACGGCGGCCGUAACUAUAACGGUCCUAAGGUAGCGAAAUUCCUUGUCGGGUAAGUUCCGACCUGCACGAAUGGUGUAAUGAUCUGGACACUGUCUCAACCGUGAGCUCAGUGAAAUUGUAGUAUCGGUGAAGAUGCCGAUUACCCGCGAUGGGACGAAAAGACCCCGUGAACCUUUACUAUAGCUUAUCAUUGAAUUUGGGCACGUGAUGUGUAGGAUAGGUCGGAGGCUUUGAAGCAGGUACGCCAGUAUCUGUGGAGCCGCUGUUGAAAUACGACCCUUCAUUUGUUUGAGUUCUAACUUGCGGUUGCAAGGACACUGAUUGGUGGGUAGUUUGACUGGGGUGGUCGCCUCCAAAAGCGUAACGGAGGCUUCUAAAGGUGCCCUCAGGACGAUUGGUAACCGUCCGCAGAGUGUAAUGGCAUAAGGGCGCUUGACUGGGAGACUCACAAGUCGAGCAGGUAGGAAACUAGAGCAUAGUGAUCCGGUGUUUCCGUAUGGAAGGGACAUCGCUCAAAGGAUAAAAGGUACUCCGGGGAUAACAGGCUGAUCCCUCCCAAGAGCUCAUAUCGACGGAGUGGUUUGGCACCUCGAUGUCGGCUCGUCACAUCCUGGGGCUGGAGAAGGUCCCAAGGGUUGGGCUGUUCGCCCAUUAAAGUGGCACGCGAGCUGGGUUCAGAACGUCGUGAGACAGUUCGGUCUCUAUCUAUCGUGGGCGUAUGAAAUUUGCGUGGCUCUGACACUAGUACGAGAGGACCGUGUUGGACUGACCGCUGGUUUACCGGUUGUGCCGCCAGGUGCAUCGCCGGGUAUCUAAGUCGGGAUCGGAUAAGUGCUGAAAGCAUCUAAGUACGAAGCCGGCCACAAGAUUAGAUUUCUCAGGGUCGUUGUAGACGACAACGUCGAUAGGAUGCAGGUGUAAAGGUAGAGAUACCAAAGCCGAGCAUUACUAAUUGCCCGUUCACUUUCUUUC